rnacentral:rRNA from 1 species
GAUGAACGCUGGCGGCGUGCCUAAUACAUGCAAGUCGAGCGAACGGACGAGAAGCUUGCUUUUCUGAUGUUAGCGGCGGACGGGUGAGUAGCACGUGGAUAACCUACCUAUAAGACUGGGAUAACUUCGGGAAACCGGAGCUAAUACCGGAUAAUAUUUUGAACCGCAUGGUUCAAAAGUGAAAGACGGUCUUGCUGUCACUUAUAGAUGGAUCCGCGCUGCAUUAGCUAGUUGGUAAGGUAACGGCUUACCAAGGCAACGAUGCAUAGCCGACCUGAGAGGGUGAUCGGCCACACUGGAACUGAGACACGGUCCAGACUCCUACGGGAGGCAGCAGCAGGGAAUCUUCCGCAAUGGGCGAAAGCCUGACGGAGCAACGCCGCGUGAGUGAUGAAGGUCUUCGGAUCGUAAAACUCUGUUAUUAGGGAAGAACAUAUGUGUAAGUAACUGUGCACAUCUUGACGGUACCUAAUCAGAAAGCCACGGCUAACUACGUG